UACGUAGGGUGCAAGCGUUGUCCGGAAUUAUUGGGCGUAAAGGGCUCGUAGGCGGUCCAUCACGUCGGGAGUGAAAAGCUGGGGCUUAACCCCAGUCCUGCUUCCGAUACGGGUGGACUAGAGGUAGGUAGGGGAGAAUGGAAUUCCCGGUGUAGCGGUGAAAUGCGCAGAUAUCGGGAGGAACACCGGUGGCGAAGGCGGUUCUCUGGGCCUUACCUGACGCUGAGGAGCGAAAGCGUGGGGAGCGAACAGG
rnacentral:rRNA from 1 species